AGAGUUUGAUCGCUGGCUCAGAACGAACGCUGGCGGCGCGUUUUAAGCAUGCAAGUCGAGCGGCAAGGGCCUUUGGGCCCCUAGAGCGGCGGACGGGUGAGUAACACGUGGACAAUCUGCCCCCCGGCCGGGGAUAGCCCAGGGAAACCUGGAUUAAUACCGGAUGAGACGGGACCCGCGGAGGCGGGAUCCGGGAAAGGCGCUGCGGCGCCGCCGGGGGAUGAGUCUGCGUCCCAUUAGCUAGACGGCGGGGUGAAGGCCCACCGUGGCGACGAUGGGUAGCCGGCCUGAGAGGGUGGACGGCCGCAUUGGAACUGAUACACGGUCCAGACUCCUACGGGAGGCAGC
rnacentral:rRNA from 1 species